GGGCACGCCUGGGCAGCACAAACACUAAAACCGGAACGAUACAGAGAAGAUUAGCAUGGCCCCUGGGCAAGGAUGACACAAGCUCCUGAAGCGGUCCCUAUUUUU
ensembl:snRNA U6 U6 spliceosomal RNA